UUAGCGGCGGACGGGUGAGUAACACGUGGGUAACCUACCUAUAAGACUGGAAUAACUCCGGGAAACCGGGGCUAAUGCCGGAUAAUAUUUAGAACCGCAUGGUUCUAAAGUGAAAGAUGGUUUUGCUAUCACUUAUAGAUGGACCCGCGCCGUAUUAGCUAGUUGGUGGGGUAAUGGCUUACCAAGGCAACGAUACGUAGCCGACCUGAGAGGGUGAUCGGCCACACUGGAACUGAGACACGGUCCAGACUCCUACGGGAGGCAGCAGUAGGGAAUCUUCCGCAAUGGGCGAAAGCCUGACGGAGCAACGCCGCGUGAGUGAUGAAGGUCUUCGGAUCGUAAAACUCUGUUAUUAGGGAAGAACAAAUGUGUAAGUAACUGUGCACGUCUUGACGGUACCUAAUCAGAAAGCCACGGCUAACUACGUGCCAGCAGC
rnacentral:rRNA from 1 species